CCUACGGGGUGGCAGCAGUGGGGAAUAUUGGACAAUGGGGGCAACCCUGAUCCAGCCAGGCCGCGUGUGUGAAGAAGGCCCUCGGGUUGUAAAGCACUUUCAGUGAGGAAGAACGCCUGGUGGUUAAUACCCAUCAGGAAAGACAUCACUCACAGAAGAAGCACCGGCUAACUCCGUGCCAGCAGCCGCGGUAAUACGGAGGGUGCGAGCGUUAAUCGGAAUUACUGGGCGUAAAGCGCGCGUAGGUGGCUUGAUAAGCCGGUUGUGAAAGCCCCGGGCUCAACCUGGGAACGGCAUCCGGAACUGGAAAGCUAGAGUGCAGGAGAGGAAGGUAGAAUUCCCGGUGUAGAGGUGAAAUGCGUAGAGAUCGGGAAGAAUACCAGUGGCGAAGGCGGCCUUCUGGACUGACACUGACACUGAGGUGCGAAAGCGUGGGUAGCAAACAGGAUUAGAUACUCCAGUAGUC
rnacentral:rRNA from 1 species